rnacentral:lncRNA from 1 species
AUGUUAUCUACUAAUUUAAAAUUUUCCAAACUACAACUGCAAAAGUCUCUGUUUGAAGAAUACAAACUCACUGCUGCUGAAAUACUGUAUGAACUUGAGGAGGUAUUACAGAAAUAUGCUGUGUAUAACAUUACUUUCCCUGUGGGAAUUGUAAAUCUUGUGGAUUACAGUUGGCACGAUCUUACUUCAGAUGCUUAUAAGUAUGCAACCAAAAAUCCUAUGUUGAAGAAAUGUAGUGCCUUAAAAGAUGAUACCAGUAUCAUGACUAUGAUCGACUUAAAGGGAUACAAAAUCAACAGCUGCUCAAGAGAAGAAUGUCAUAAGAGGAACUGCCUGGUGAAAGUAAAAGAAGACCAUCACGAUGCAGCAAGUAAACCUGUGGUAAAAACAUCUCUUGUCGACCAACAGCAGUGUUCCCAGAUCUCCCAGGAUAGCAGUUUACCUGUUGUCACCCACUUCUCACUGACAUCCAAGAUCUGUUUAGAAAAUGGUAAGAUCCCCUUAUCCAU